rnacentral:pre_miRNA from 1 species
GUUCAGCACUAAGUAGUGGUGCCGUAGUAACGUUUAUUAAUCUUACUGCAGUAUCUCUGCUUAAUGCUGCGC